rnacentral:rRNA from 1 species
GAUGAACGCUGGCGGCGUGCCUAAUACAUGCAAGUCGAGCGAACAGGCGAUGAGUUUGCUCGUUGGACGUUAGCGGCGGGCGUGUGUGUAACACGUGGAUAACCCACCUAUAAGAGGGGGAUAACUUCGGGAAACCGGAGCUAAUAGCGGAGAAUAUAUUGAACCGCAUGGUUGAAUAGUGAGAUACGGUUUUGCUGUCACUUAUCGCUGGAUCCGCGCCGCAUGAGCUAGUUGGUAAGGUAACGGCUUACGAAGGGAACGAUGCGUAGCCGACGUGAGAGGCGGAUAGCCCACCCGGGAACGUAGACACGGACCAGGGGCCUAAGAGAGGCCGCAGAAGGGAAUCUGCCGCAGCGGGCGAAAGCAUUAUGGAGCAGGGGCGCGUGAGUGAUGACGGUCUUCGGAUCGUAAAGCUCUGUUACUAGGGAAGAACCACUGUGUAAGGAAAUAUGGCCGUCUUGACGGUAACUAAUAAGAAAGCAACGGCUAACUACGUG